rnacentral:rRNA from 1 species
AUGGCGAUCUUGUUCUCGCGCGAGCAAGAGCUGCUCAUCUCCGUUGUAUUUGUCUUUCUUGCUUUCCUCUACUUGUACUUCAGGUCUAGCAGUAGAUCACAUGGCCAGUCAGUGCUCCCCGCAGACUGGCCAGUAAUGCACAUGUUGCCUGGAGUCAUUGCCAACCUCCAUAAUGCACAUGACUAUUUCGCUGCUAUCCUUACUGAAGCAGGCCACAACUUCAGGGUACAUAUUCCCCAAAGGCACAUAUUUCUCACUUGUGACCCUGGGAACGUCCGGCACAUCUUCACAACCAACCACGCAAACUUCCCCAAGGGCCGCGAGUUUGCAGCCAUCUUUGACAUAAUGGAUGGAGGCAUCUUCACAGUCGACGGUGAGCAAUGGCGACGGCAGCGCACAAAAUUCCAGAGCGUGCUCAGCAGCCCAGGGUUGGUUUCCGGUAUGGCGGCAUGCUGCCGCGACAAGGUAGAGAAUGGCCUCCUCCCCUUCUUUACCCACAUGGCAAGCACUGACACUCCAUUUGACAUGCAAGAAGUGAUUUCGAGGUUUGUGUUUGACUUGGCUGCCACGCCUCUCUUCGGCGUGGACCCUAGCCUCCUGUCCUCGGACAUGCCGUCCAUGGACGUUGCAGUUGCCAUGGACACGGUCAUGGAGGUAGGCUUUUUCCGGCAUGUCAUGCCAGCCACUUGUUGGAAAGCUAUGAGGAGGCUAAACAUCGGCCCAGAGAGAAAGCUUGAUGCGGCGCACAAGGUGAUACGAGGGUUCUUCAUGGAGAUGAUAGAGAAGAAAAAGAUCAAUGGAGGACGUGUUUGUAAUGACGGGGAGCAAGAGCAUGUGGAUGUUCUGUCCUCCUACAUCAAUGACCCAGACUACGCAGACGAUGACUUGCUCCGUGCGAAGCUCCUUAGCCUCAUGCUCGGUGGGAGGGACACAAUUGGCACCACCUUGCCAUGGAUCUUCUAUAUCCUUGCCAAGAACCCUAACAUCCUUUCAAUCAUACGCAAUGAACUCUCACCCAUUGCAUCACACAAAGUAGCCAUGGGUAAGAGUUCCAUGGUGAUCUUUGAGCCAGAGGAGACCAAACAUUUGGUCUAUCUAAAAGCUGCCCUGUACGAGACUCUCAGGUUGUACCCAUCAGCACCAAUUGAGCGCAAGACAGUGGCUACCGAUGAUAUCAUGCCGAGUGGCCAUGAGGUGCACACCGGCGAUACCAUCCUUAUUUCUCUCUACUCCAUGGCGAGAAUGGAGGGUGUGUGGGGUAAAGACUGUCGCGACUAUAACCCACAUAGGUGGCUCUCAGAAGAUGGUAACAAGUUGAUGUAUGUACCGUCUCACAAGUUCUUGUCCUUCAACUCAGGCCCAAGGAUGUGCCCUGGAAAGGACAUCGCUGUUGUGCAGAUGAAAACCGUUGUCGCGGCAGUGGUUUGGAACUUUGACAUGGAGGUGGUGGAAGGGCAGAGCAUCCAGCCCAAGCUGUCUUGUACACUACAGAUGAAAAAUGGGCUCACGAUGAUCCUGAAGAAGCGAGAAACAUAA